rnacentral:rRNA from 1 species
AUUGAACGCUGGCGGCAGGCCUAACACAUGCAAGUCGAGCGGAUGACGGGAGCUUGCUCCUUGAUUCAGCGGCGGACGGGUGAGUAAUGCCUAGGAAUCUGCCUGGUAGUGGGGGACAACGUUUCGAAAGGAACGCUAAUACCGCAUACGUCCUACGGGAGAAAGCAGGGGACCUUCGGGCCUUGCGCUAUCAGAUGAGCCUAGGUCGGAUUAGCUUGUUGGUGAGGUAAUGGCUCACCAAGGCGACGAUCCGUAACUGGUCUGAGAGGAUGAUCAGUCACACUGGAACUGAGACACGGUCCAGACUCCUACGGGAGGCAGCAGUGGGGAAUAUUGGACAAUGGGCGAAAGCCUGAUCCAGCCAUGCCGCGUGCGUGAAGAAGGUCUUCGGAUUGUAAAGCACUUUAAGUUGGGAGGAAGGGUUGUAGAUUAAUACUCUGCAAUUUUGACGUUACCGACAGAAUAAGCACCGGCUAACUCUGUGCCAGCCGCCGCGGUAAAAC